rnacentral:rRNA from 1 species
UUCCUAGGGAGGCGCAGGUGCGAAACUUUAUAGCGCUUUAUGUCCAUAGGGGGACUCCGAGUGGUCGUUCCAUACAGGGGGCGACCUUUUUCCAAGUGUAAGGAGCUUGGCGAAUAAGGGGUGUGCAAGACGGCUGCCAGCCGCCGCGGUAAUAGCCGCACCUCAAGUGGUGGCCACCGUUAUUGGGCUUCAAGUGUCCGUGCCGGCCCGGUAAGUUCUCUGUGAAAUCCGGCCGCUCAACGGUCGGGCGCGCAGGGAAUACUGCCGGGCUUGGGGCCUGACGGCGCUGGGGCUAUUCCCGGAGUAGGAGUGAAAUCCUCAAAUUCCGGGAGGAGCACCUGUGGCGAAAGCGUCCAGCGAGGACGGACCCGACGGUCAGGGACGAAAGCCAGGUGAGCAAAGCGGAUUAGAUACCCGCGUAGUCCUGGCUGUAAACAUUGUCCGCUUGAUGUCGGGAAUCUCCCGAGGAUUCCCGGUGCCGAACUAUCGACGUUAAGCGGACCCGCCUGGUGAGUACGGUCGCAAGGUUGAAACUCAAAGGAAUUGACGG